AGGACGAACGCUGGCGGCGUGCUUAACACAUGCAAGUCGAGCGGUAAGGCCUUUCGGGGUACACGAGCGGCGAACGGGUGAGUAACACGUGGGUGAUCUGCCCUGCACUCUGGGAUAAGCCUGGGAAACUGGGUCUAAUACCGGAUAUGACCUGCUCUCGCAGUGGGGGUGGGUGGAAAGAUUUAUCGGUGCAGGAGUGGGCCCGCGGCCUAUCAGCUUGUUGGUGGGGUAAUGGCCUACCAAGGCGACGGACGGGUAGCCGACCUGGAGAGGGUGACCGGCCACGACUAGGGACUGGAGACCGACGGCCCAGACCUCCG
rnacentral:rRNA from 1 species